GAUGAGUCCUAGGAGUGAGGUUUUUGGUUCUCAAUCUGGAUAUCUUGAUAGUCUUUGCUUGAACCAUACUUUGUGUCAAUUUGCAUGAAGCUCACAAAAGUUCAAUGAUGAGUUAGGAUCCACAGUCUUCGUAUGGAAUAUUGUCAACCAAAAAUAAUUUUCUCUAUAGAAAAAGGGAUUAGUACUCCUCUUUCCCUUUAUGAUUGCACCAUGAAUAAAUUUAGAGGUAUUUUUGUUAGAGUGUUGGUUGAUAAUGAUAUGCUAUAUGCUUUGCCUAAUCAAAUUUUGGUGGAAAGACCUGAUUUUGUUUUUAUUGCAAAUAUUCAAUUUGAGAAGUUACCUACAUUUUUCUCUUCAUGUAAAAGGAUAGGGUUUGAUAUUUCUAAAUGUAGACGACAUUCUGAUAACCUCAAUAACACAAUCAAACUGUCAACUAUUUUAUCCAAACUUGUUUUAGAGUAUAAAUUUGUGACUAUCCAAACCAAAGAAACUAAUGAUGUCACUCACAAGGAAGUGGUUGGUGUCAUAGAGAAAUAGAAUUCUGCGAUAGAGAUAUAAAUAUAUGAUGUACUUGUUCGUAAGGCAGGGGUGGUGGAAGUUGAGGGAGUUGCUAUUGAUUUUGAUACCCUUAGUUGAAGUUGUUGUUGGACAAGUGGAGAUUGUAUCUCUUAUUGGUCAAAAGUUUAAGAAAUUUGCAGAAGAAUUAUUUGUUGAUGAUAAUGUUUAUGUUGUUGCAGUUAUUGAUAUAAGGGUUGGUUCACAAUAUCAUAAUGAUAUUUUUGUUGAUAUGCCCUCUUUGGAGAAUGUCCAUGAACCAAAUGAUUUGCUACAAAAAGAAGACUCCUUGCCUUAUGAAAGUUUAGGUCUUUUUAAGGAUUCUCUCAUCUCAAAUCUCAAAUCUGCAACUAAUGCAACAAAGUUCUAAAUUUGUUGUUGGAAAACGAGUUACAUCUAAAUCUAUUUCUCAAGAUUUGGCCUUAAAAAAUUGUUUUGAAUCUCUUUCAGGUGAUUAACAAGAGACUCAAGAGUCACGUUCGACCAUCUUAGUAGUGAAUAUAGUUGAAUUUACCUCGACUGACAUUUUCUUAGAAGAAGCCAAUUUGGUUUCUAAGUUUUGGGCUAAAAAGAUGGAUGGAAUCAUAAAGUGAAGAAAUUGAAUAAACCAGUUCAAACUUUCAAGAGAUCGAAAUGUCCUUCUAAGCUAGAGUGAAAGCCAAUAAGAAGACAUCCAAAACAGGUCAACCCAACAAAAAGUAAUGGUAAGGAUGUGCACCAAUAUCAUAGAAUUUUAUUACCAUCGCUGAAUGCAAAGGAUAGUCAAUUUGAUUAGAUUUUUGGGAUUCAAUCAUUCGUCUUUACUAUCUUUAUGGGAGCUACACAUUAGAGAAUGUUCUUUUGAUUGUCUUGUCUUAUUUACUUUUUUAUUUUUGGUUUAAACUCUCAAUAUAAGUGCUUAGGUUAAUUUUAAGAGUUCUUUAUUUUUUAUUUUUCUUUACAUGAAUUUGGUCUAGUCUCCCAAUGUUUUUUUUUUAUGUUAUAUUCUCUAACAUGAGUUUUAUUUAAAAACAAUACACUAAGGUUAUCCUCUAAUAUAUAUUAUUUUAAUAUUGUUUUUAUGAAAUUAUAUAAAUUUAAAUUUUAUAAUGUUAAUAUUUUAAUAUUUUUUUAAUAUCUUGUUUACGAAAUUAUAUUAUUUCAAUAAAAUAAAAAUGUGGAUAUUAGUUUUCUUAGUAUUAAUAAAGGAAGUUGUUAAGUUAACAUAUAAAUAAGUCAAUAAAAAUGAAAAAAAUUACUCUCCUAGCACCUGUACACAAAUUGUUAUCAUUAAAAGUAUCUUAUUUGGAAGUGUUAUGAAUCAAAGUGAUAGAUCAUAAUAAAAAAUUAAUAGUAAUGUGAAAUUAUUAUAGAACUGUUUUGGCAAAAGUAGUUUUAUAAAUAAUAUUAGUUAUAUUUGGACAGUUUUCUAUAAGUAUUUUUAUUAAAGAAAAAUAAAAAUUUAAAAAUUAAACCAAAUUGUUUAUAAUUUGGAAAUUAAAAAUUAAAAUGGUUAUAUUAAAGAAUGUCUAAAAAGUAGUUUAAAUAUAAAUUAGUUUUAACUUUUAAAUAAUUUAUUUAAUGUUUUUAUAUUUUUAUUCAAAUAAAUAUAUUUAUAAAGAAACUUGUUCCAUCAUACUUAUUACUUAUAACAUAUAUAAAGAGGAAUAAAACCGUGUGAUAGAAAUAAAUUAAACUAUGUUUUCCCUUUUUACUUAAAAAUAUGUAUAUAGAAAUAGAGGAACUCACCUUGCACGAUAGCUAGACUAAUCUCUGUAAAAAAAAACAAAAAAAACUUUGAGUUAAUAAAUAGUAUGACACAAUUAAAAGUAAAAUAUUCUUUUCUCAUUUUGUGUAAAGUGUCAAAAUAAAAAGUAAUGUAAAAUCUGGGGAACAAUUUGGUGUUUUACUUAUUUGUUGCAUUAUGCAUUAUUUAAUUUAGAAAACCAAUAUAAAAGAAAUUCAAAUUUAAGUUAAGAGAUUAAAACUGUAUUUAAACAUGAAAAUUAUGAUAA
rnacentral:lncRNA from 1 species